AGAGUGGCGAACGGGUGAGUAACGCGUGGGUGAUCUACCUUGAAGUGGGGGAUAACCAGCCGAAAGGCUGGCUAAUACCGCAUAAGCCGUAGUUUUCGUUAACUACGGGAAAAGCUUCGGUUGCUUCAGGAGGAGCCCGCGUCGGAUUAGCUAGUAGGUGAGGUAAUGGCUCACCUAGGCUGCGAUCCGUAGCCGGUCUGAGAGGACGUACGGCCACACUGGGACUGAGACACGGCCCAG
rnacentral:rRNA from 1 species